rnacentral:sRNA from 1 species
CAGGGGAUUGCAGUGGCAAAGCUAGGCUAGGUCUUGGAGGCUGGUGUAAGGCGAUGCGGGUGAAGGCAGGAGGCUGAUGGAGAGACUGGGGGGAAGAAAAGCCGAAAUGGAUUCACGGUGCCUUGGAUGAAGGACGAGAGGGGAACUGCAAGCUCCUUCAACUGGUUCUGUCCGGUGAGAAGUGAUCAAGCUUGGGCUGACAAGAGGCUCAGGGAGCCCUCACGUUCUUUCGCUUUUUUACCUGCCAAUCAAACUGCUACAAGACAACACCCUGAUCUGGCAUGGACAUCGCGGGUCCAAGCCUGUAGCCCCAAAUCGGAUAAUCUCUGCAGCUGAUAACAAGCAAAAGAGAAGCCAGGCAACAGCCAUAUUAAAGAAGAAAACAGUCAACUCUGAGGAUGGCUGCCAGGGAAUAGAUGAAAGGCAGAAGUGGCGAUGGGUGACUGAUGUGGCACACUUAUGAAGAAAAGCCUCUUUUUCCAUGCUUGUUUUUCCUCCCCAAGGAGCCAACAGAGUUUCUAUUCUCCAACUCUGCUCUUCACCUUACCCAAGUCAUUACAGUCACCUGGAGUCACGGAAAUGACCAUGAUUGCCUGAACUUUCAUGACUUCUGUGGAUAACU